rnacentral:rRNA from 1 species
AAUCAACGCUGGCGGCGUGCCUCAGACAUGCAAGUCGAACGAUUAAGACUUCCUUCGGGAAGUGCAUAAAGUGGCGCACGGGUGAGUAACACGUAAGUAAUCUACCCUCGAGUGGGGAAUAACGUUCGGAAACGAACGCUAAUACCGCAUAAUGCAGCGGCAUCGCAAGAUGACAGUUGUUAAAGGAGUAAUUCGCUUGAGGAGGAGCUUGCGGCAGAUUAGCUAGUUGGUAAGGUAACGGCUUACCAAGGCUACGAUCUGUACCCGGUCUAAGAGGACGGUCGGACACACUGACACUGAAUAACGGGUCAGACUCCUACGGGAGGCAGCAGUCGGGAAUUUUGGGCAAUGGGCGAAAGCCUGACCCAGCAACGCCGCGUGAAGGAUGAAGUAUUUCGGUAUGUAAACUUCGAAAGAAUGGGAAGAAUAAAUGACGGUACCAUUUAUAAGCUCCGGCUAACUACGUGCCAGCCGCCGCCGUAACAC